rnacentral:rRNA from 1 species
GAUGAACGCUGGCGGCGUGCCUAAUACAUGCAAGUCGAGCGAACAGACGAGGAGCUUGCUCCUCUGACGUUAGCGGCGGACGGGUGAGUAACACGUGGAUAACCUACCUAUAAGACUGGGAUAACUUCGGGAAACCGGAGCUAAUACCGGAUAAUAUAUUGAACCGCAUGGUUCAAUAGUGAAAGACGGUUUUGCUGUCACUUAUAGAUGGAUCCGCGCCGCAUUAGCUAGUUGGUAAGGUAACGGCUUACCAAGGCAACGAUGCGUAGCCGACCUGAGAGGGUGAUCGGCCACACUGGAACUGAGACACGGUCCAGACUCCUACGGGAGGCAGCAGUAGGGAAUCUACCGCAAUGGGCGAAAGCCUGACGGAGCAACGCAGCGUGAGUGAUGAAGGGCUUCGGAUCGUAAAACUCUGUUAUUAGGGAAGAACAAAUGUGUAAGUAACUAUGCACGUCUUGACGGUACCUAAGCAGAAAGCCACGGCUAACUACGU